GCCCUGAACUUUGGGAUAAGCCUGGGAAACUGGGUCUAAUACCGGAUAUGACCUUGGAGUGCAUGCUCUGGGGUGGAAAGCUUUUGCGGUUCAGGAUGGGCCCGCGGCCUAUCAGCUUGUUGGUGGGGUAAUGGCCUACCAAGGCGACGACGGGUAGCCGACCUGAGAGGGUGAUCGGCCACACUGGGACUGAGACACGGCCCAGACUCCUACGGGAGGCAGCAGUGGGGAAUAUUGCACAAUGGGCGCAAGCCUGAUGCAGCGACGCCGCGUGAGGGAUGACGGCCUUCGGGUUGUAAACCUCUUUCACCAGGGACGAAGCGCAAGUGACGGUACCUGGAGAAGAAGCACCGGCCAACUACGUGCCAGCAGCCGCGGUAAUACGUAGGGUGCGAGCGUUGUCCGGAAUUACUGGGCGUAAAGAGCUCGUAGGCGGUUUGUCGCGUCGUCUGUGAAAUUCUGCAACUCAAUUGUAGGCGUGCAGGCGAUACGGGCAGACUUGAGUACUACAGGGGAGACUGGAAUUCCUGGUGUAGCGGUGAAAUGCGCAGAUAUCAGGAGGAACACCGGUGGCGAAGGCGGGUCUCUGGGUAGUAACUG
rnacentral:rRNA from 1 species